GACGAACGCUGGCGGCGUGCUUAACACAUGCAAGUCGUACGGUAAGGCCCUUUCGGGGGUACCCGAGUGGCGAACGGGUGAGUAACACGUGAGUAACCUGCCCACAACUUUGGGAUAACGCUAGGAAACUGGUGCUAAUACUGGAUAUGUGCUCCUGCUGCAUGGUGGGGGUUGGAAAGCUCCGGCGGUUGUGGAUGGACUCGCGGCCCAUCAGCUUGUUGGUGGGGUAGUGGCCUACCAAGGCGGCGACGGGUAGCCGGCCUGAGAGGGUGACCGGCCACAUUGAGACUGAGAGACGGCACAGACGCCGACGGGAGGCAGCAGUGGGGAAUAUUGCACAAUGGGCGCAAGCCGGAUGCAGCAACGCCGCGGGCGGGAUAACGGCCUUCGGGUUGAAAACCGCUUUCAGCAGGGACGAAGCUUUUUGUGACGGUACCUGCAGAAGAAGCACCGGCUAACUACGUG
rnacentral:rRNA from 1 species